GGAAAAGAAUAAUUACCCUGUCCAGUGACGCACUUGCCCUGUAUCGUCAAGUUAUUACCGAAAGGACAACAGAGCUGAAGAAUGAUAUUUUAAAUUUAUUCUGCAUGUAAACCAUUGGGAUAAAAUGAAGACGAGAUAGAUGACAAGUGCUAAGAACAAUAAGUUUUUUUGAUUCUGAUGCGUGAGAAUAAUACGUGACAACUCUGCAGUUUGAAAUGCUCUUUGUUUUCGAGAUAAUGACAUUCGUUAAUAUAAACAGGUCCAUUUCGUAGAUCAUGGACAACUGCAUUGCCUGUGCUAUAUCUUUCACGCUGCAGUUUCUGGUAAAGACAAUGUCAAAUGUAAAUAACAUGUAGUCUUCCGGAAUUUUUAUUAUCGAAAUCGAUCGUGUAACUAUAUAGAGAGGUAUAGAGUUUGAUAUAACAUAAGCAGUUGAUAUUAGGCCACAAUUACGUAGAAAAUUUACAAGUGAGUUGAUGAUUGAUUAAAAAUAGAUAAAAUAGAAUUAAAAAUAA